GGGCACAUGGUGUAGUUCGUUAUCACAUCCGCUUAGCAUCAAAGGAAAGGAAGCUGCCGAAGGUGUUCGUGCGGGGGGUGCUGGGUUCUCUUCCCAUUGUGUCCA